GUUAUAUCUUAACCCACUUUAAUAAAUAAUUCAACAAAUUCCAAUUCAUUAUUUUCACUUUUAUUAAUUAAAUAUUUUCUCUCUCUCUAAAAACCCUUCUAAUUCUUCAGAAUAUCUUUUUAGUUGGGAAUGUCAUAUUAUCUCUCUUACACUCUCUUCCCAGAUUUUUAAUUGUGUUGUCACGUUAUAUUUUAACCCACUUUAAUAGAUAAUUCAACAACUUCCAAUGCAUUAUUUUCACUUUUAUUAAUAAAGUAUUUUCUCUCUCUCUAAAAACCCUUCUAAUUCUUCAGAAUAUCUUUUUAGUUGGGAAUGUCACAUUAUCUCUCUUACACUCUCUUUCCAGAUUUUUAAUUGUGUUGUCAUGUCAUAUCUUAACCAUCUUUAAUAGAUAAUUCAACAACUUCCAAUGCAUUAUUUUCAAUUUUAUUAAUAAAAUAUUUUCUCUCUCUCUCUAAAAUCCCUUUUCCAAAACUAAUUAUUCAGAAUAUCUUUUUUAAUUUUCAACUCUUAAUCUUCCAUGAUUUUUGUUUGAAUUGGAGGUUAUCUCUCUAACAUUCUUCAACAGACAAAACAUUUUCAAAAUCAAUUUAUUCAUAUAUCAUCAAAUCUCCAGGUUUACGCUUCAAUUUCUUCAAACCCGAAUUUUCCUAUUUUACACCAUUCUCAAGUAAUUCCGUUUGAAGGUUUGAUUUGGAGAUUCACAUUGAGUUGGUUAUUGUGUUCUUUAUAUUACUUUUUGAUUACUUACUUAUUUUAUUUUAUUUUUAAAUUUUGGAUAUUUUGUUGUUGUUCUUAAAUUAUUUUUUAGGGUUUCAUAAUACCAAAUUCACUCUUCAAUGGAUGCAUUCAAAAGAGUUACUAGAGGUAUUGUAAAAAAAAAUCACAGUUCUUCCGAGUUUCAUAUUUUAUUUUAUUUUCACUCAAGAAAUAAACAACAAUGUAGGUUCAUCUUCUAAGUCUAAGGAUGGUGGAAAAAUGACUGAAUCUGUCGAGGUGCAAAAUCCCAUAGAAAUUCAUGAAGUUGAAGAAGAACAAUUUUUUGGAGAAGAGGUAAUUUUUUUUUUGCAUGUGUUGUGUAUUGCAUGUUUAGUUUAAUUUGUUUAGUAAUUUUUAAGAUUGAACAAAAUACAUUUUACAAUGAUUUUGAAAGUGUAUUUGGAAUGUUUAGUCUGUUAUAGUCGCUAUGUAUUGAAAUUUUUUUGACUGUCAUUUAUGUAUUGUAUUUUGUAUUCUGUUCCUCUUUUUUGUAUUAGUUGUCAAUGUAAUACAACUUACAAGUUUGAUUGUCUAUUUACUAUUAUCGUAUACAUUUUUAAGUGUAUUCGGAAUUUUCAUCUUGUUAUAGUUAUUUUUUUCAUAGUUCUAAUGUUUUUUGUAUUCACAAUUAUAGUUGGCAUGUAUUUCUGUAUUUAAUAUGUUUAUUGUAUUUUUUUGGUCAAUGUAACAAAUUUUAUAAGUUUGAUUGUGUAUUUACUAUUAUAUUGAGUUCUGUUGAUGUUUUAGUCAAGUAUGUAUUUUUGUAGUUCAUAAUUUUAUUGUAUUUUUGGUAUACAUAGAAUGGGAAUUGUAUAUUGUAUUCUGUAUUACAUCUGUAUAUAUCCAUAAAUUCAUUUUGUAUUCUGUUUUUUUUUGUGUUAGUUAUGUCAAUGUACCACAUAUUUGUAACCAUAUGUGUUUUUUUUGUAUGUUGUUGUAACUGUGUUGAUUUUUUAUUUAUUAUAAUGUUUUUUUGUUCUGUUAUUUUAGUAUUAUUUCAUUUUUUGGAAUUCAAUAUGCCAGGGGACUUCUUAUGCUUGCAAAAAGCUACCAAAAAAUGCACCCCACAUUCACUGUAUAGUAAAUCAUGACAUUAAAUCCAAGUUGACUGACAAGCUUACACCGAAGCAGUAUAAUUAUUUUUGUGAGAGUACGUGUUUUGGUCAGUAUAUGAAAAUCAGAAAAUGUGUUGGGCAAGGUCAAAUUCACAGGUGUUGUAUGUCACUAGAAGUAGAAGCUAGUAGUAAUCAGGCUCUUUAAAUCAAAGUAAAUGGAGUUAUUUUAAAGUUCACAAUUAGGACGUUUGUGCUUAUUACUAGAUUAAACUGUGUUGGUGUUAUAGAGGAUUUCAAGUGUAACACAGAAGAACCUAACCGGCUUAUUGUUCAGUACUUUGGUGGUAAUGAGAUCAUACGUAGAUCUGAUUUGUUCGAUAGGUUCAAUGGUAAAGUUUGGGUUGACAAUGAUGAUGAUGCGAUUAAGUUUGCAAUAUUAUAUUUCAUUCAUAUGUUUGUGUACUCUGGCGAGAAGAGAUCGUUGCGAAUUCCUAGAAUUCAUUUUGAUUUGGUUGAAAGUGGUCGGUAUAUGCAUUAUCCUUGGGACAGAAAAACAUUUGAGUGGUUUCUAUAGAGUAUCAACAAGGUUUUGACUACUGAUAGUCAAUAUUAUAGAUAUGUGGUAUGCCUGUUGUCCUUCAAAUAUGGAUAUACGAGUGCAUGGGUAAGCGUCAGACAAAUUUUGCACGGAAAAUCAAUGAUCGUAUCCCCCGUAUUCUAAAUUGGAAAACAGUAGGAGCAAAACCCCGAUUCAAAACCUUGAUGAAAGACACAUUCAAUGAUGAUAAUAGAGAGGUAUUGUAUGUAAUUCAUGAUUUUUUACCCUUGUAAUUGUAUUAAUUCGAUGUAUAUAUUUUAUUAUGUUAAUUAUUCUGUUUACUAUCAUUUUCAGAUUAAAUGGAAGAAUGGUGUCCCUUCUCUAAUGGAAAUUACUGUUCUACAAUUGCCUCCUGAAGGUGUUGAAAAAUCAACUGAAGGUGUUCAAACAGAGCCACAUCAUGAUAUUGAUGAACAAGUACUUGCUGGACAUAAUUCAGAUGAUGAUUUUGUCAAUCCACCUCCACCUUCAAUGAAGGUUACAUGUAAAAGAAAAAAGGGGCAAUCAGUAUCACCUGCUAAAAGGAUACGGAAAAAGGAAUGAAAUAUCACAGAUCAAAUGGAACGGAAUGAACAGAUCGAUCCAGUAGAGAACCGGAAUGUGGAAAAAGUUGCAAUUAGAAAAGUUGUGCGGAAGAAAAAAAAUUGUGUUCUAAGGAGAAAACCACUCGCACUUGUGUGCCAACAAAGGAUUCCCAAAUACCAUCUGUAAGUGUGUCUCAUGAACAGUUAAUGAGGAAUGAACUCUCUGAGUUACGAAAGGAGGUAUAUAUUGUUUAUACAUAUGUUUUUUCAAUAUAUUUAUUCAAAUUAUUGCAAUCUGUAAAAUUUAAUCAUAUUGUAACUGUUUCAGGUUAGAGAAGAGUUUAAAGACAUACGGAAGUUGAUAAAUGAUAAUUUUAAUAUCAUUAUGUCUACUUUGAAGGUUAUACAAUAUGCUAAAUUUUUAUGUUUAAUUUUUUUUAUUUUUUUAUUUUUUUGAAUUCUAUGUUGUAAUUUAAUAUUUACAGGACAAAAAAAAACAAUGACAAUGCUGGUCAAGGAUCACAACCUUUUACAAGUCCAAUUUUAUCAGAAAAUCAAAAUCAGGUACACACAACUCAUUUUGAAAAUAAUAGUUUAUUUUGUUUGUAUUCUAUAUACUGUAAUAUAUAUGUCUAAUAUUAUUUUUUUCCUAUAUUUGUAAGUACUUUAUUUCUUUAUCCACAGUGAUUAAAUGUAUGCUGAUUGUUUUUAUAUCAAAUAUAUUUUUAGAACAACAUAAACAAUCACAAUGCUGCUCAAGGACGACAACAUUUUACAAGUCCAUUUGCAUCAGAAAAUCAAAAUCAGGUAGAGACAUCUUAUUUUUAAAAAUAAAGAUUAGUAUUUUUGUAUUCUGUUUUUCUUACUACGUUUAUGUUUAAUAUUAAUUUGUAUUUUACAUGUCGUUAAUAUUGUAUUUCAAUAUAAAUAUUUUUUUAUGUAUGUUGACUAUUUUUGUAUCUACAUGGAUUGAAUGGUCUUUUUAAUGAUGAAAAGUCGGAGUGUGAUGAAAGCUCAAAUGAUGGCAGCGAGGAAGUUUUUCAAGUAUGUUCAUUAUAAAUUUUGUAUUUUUAGAUGGUUUAACGAUAUUUUUUAUUCAAUCUCCUUUUUUUAAAGGAUCAUUCAAUUUUUGAAAAUACAAAUCUGGGAGACAUACCCGAUAUUGUUGGGGGUGCUGAUAAACAAGUAUGUUGGUUAACUCUACAUAUUUAUAUAGUGCAGUUGGGAAUAUUGUUUAUAAUUAACAUUUUUAUAUUUUUAAAGGUUGAUUGUGACAAUUCCCCUGUACGUAAUCUGAUCAAUGUAGAUGUUGGUUUUAGUUCGUCUAAAUCAAUAAUCUCAAGUGUAUGUUUUUCUACUUAUCUAAACUAAUUACUUUUGUUCUUAUUAAUAUAAUUUGCUUUUUUUGAAUAAUAUUUUUUUUAUUAACUACAGAUACCUCAACCAUCAUUUGUAUUUGACAAACCCAAUAAAAUAAGGUCACUUGUUUUUGAAAGUCAACAUGACUUUACAGAUCAAGAUGACAAUGAUGAAGAGGACCAGUUUCAUAUUUCCUACCCCUAUUCAAUCUAUUGUUCCCUUGGAAGGGUCACCACAUCACAGUUUGAGUUGGAUGAUUCUCUAAUGCCAAGUCUCAGUGACAUAAAAAGUAUUUGUGCUACUGACAAUACCAUUAAUGCAGAACAGAGCAUUAUUAUGCACAUUCCAACCACAAGCAAUGACAACUCAAAUAUUAAAAAACAAGCUAGCAAGGAUAGUCAGAACAAAAAAAGUCCUGUUCACACACCAUUACCUGCGCAUAGGAUUAGACGUCCAGGACCUUUCAAUACAUCCCCAUAUAUGACAUCGUUCGGCUCAUCUGCAGGUAUAAAGACAUAACAAAUUUUAAUGUAUUUUAGAUCUGAUUUAUAUAUGUUUAUUCUAAUUUUUGUAUAUGGUAUGUUAUUUUUUAAUUUAACAUUUACAUCCACUACUUCAUCGGUGCAACCAAUUAUUUUUGAACUGAAACACCCGUUCAUCUUUGAUCUUAUUUCUGGCAAUCGUGAUAUCAUUAUGUGGGAUGCACACCGGUCAUGGAUUCGCGAAGGUCUUUUUGCAAAACAUGAGAACAAACGUCAUGAUCAGGAUCGAUACAAGAAGGGGGUAAAGCAUGCAUUCCUGUCCCAUUUGGCUUUGGUGUUGAUAUUGUAGACAAUAAAAAUUGGUUCUACAAUUUGUACUGAAAAGGACAAUUGUUGAAUGAUUCGGUAAGUAAUAACUGUAGUUAUUUAGUUAUUCUUCGUUGUUUUAUUGUUUUCUAAUGAUUAUUUAUUUUUUAUUGUUCAGCAUAUCAAUGUUAUAUUUUAUUAUUUCAGAAAGAAAGCAAAGUAUGAUGUGGACAGCAGAUAUGAAUACACAACUGUGAAUUGUGUGUUUACGUCCAAGAUUUCAUCAAUUUGAAAGAAGUAUGAAGAUUUAGAUAGUGAUGUCUGCUGCGCUGAUGAAGAGCAUUUUAUAGGAGAUUACAUUAGAGGGUAUAAAGUUCAUGCCGACAUUCCGUGGCAUUUGGUGGAUCACGUAUUUAUACCUGUAAAUAUAAAGGAAAAAUUUCAUUGGGUCUUGGCGGUACUCUCUCUUAAUGAUAGACGUGUAUAUGUUUAUGAUUCUUACAGAGCGGCAGGUCAUGAUGCAGCAAUCAGGAAAGAGGUUACCAAGUUAGCUCAACUCAUUCCGCUUAAGUUGACUAUGUAUGAUUAUUACAAGAACAGAGGCUUAGAUAGAUCUGUUAGUCAAGAAGAGAAUGAGUUAUUUGAGAUAGUUUUAUAGACAACAUACCUCAACAGACCGAUGACAACUUGUAAGUUGUAUUAAUUCUGUUAGUCAAUUUUAAUUUUAUUUUGUAUUUAAAUUUUAAUUUUGUAUUCUCAUGUGUUAUUCAGAGAUUGUGGUAUCUAUAUGCUUGCUUUUGCCGAGUGGCUGUCUUAUAGUCAAGGAAAUCCAAGUGGUACAUUUGACGUAAUGUUUUCAAGGUCAAGAUAUGCAACACUUAUUUGGAAUUAUGCUAAGCAAAAGCAAGACAACGGAGCCAUUAGUGAAUCUGAGGCACCCCCUAGGCAUGCAAUGCCUCAAUCUGUUCGUGUUGUAUCUGCUCCAAUCGAAA